rnacentral:rRNA from 1 species
AGCAUAUUGAUCAGCGGAGGAA